rnacentral:rRNA from 1 species
AGAACGAACGCUGGCGGCAUGCCUAAUACAUGCAAGUCGAACGAACUCUUCGGAGUUAGUGGCGCACGGGUGCGUAACGCGUGGGAAUCUGCCCCUUGGUUCGGAAUAACAGUUGGAAACGACUGCUAAUACCGGAUGAUGACGAAAGUCCAAAGAUUUAUCGCCAAGGGAUGAGCCCGCGUAGGAUUAGCUAGUUGGUGAGGUAAAGGCUCACCAAGGCAACGAUCCUUAGCUGGUCUGAGAGGAUGAUCAGCCACACUGGGACUGAGGCACGGCCCAGACUCCUACGGGAGGGCAGCAGUAGGGAAUAUUGGACAAUGGGCGAAAGCCUGAUCCAGCAAUGCCGCGUGAGUGAUGAAGGCCUUAGGUUGUAAAGCUCUUUUACCCGAGAUGAUAAUGACAGUAUCGGAAGAAUAAGCCCCGGACUAACUCCGUGCCAGCAGCCG